rnacentral:rRNA from 1 species
UACAGAGGGGGCAAGCGUUGUUCGGAAUUACUGGGCGUAAAGGGCGCGUAGGCGGCCUGUUAAGUCGGACGUGAAAUCCCUCGGCUCAACCGGGGAACUGCGUCCGAUACUGGCGGGCUUGAAUUCGGGAGAGGGAUGUGGAAUUCCAGGUGUAGCGGUGAAAUGCGUAGAUAUCUGGAGGAACACCGGUGGCGAAGGCGGCAUCCUGGACCGACACUGACACUGAGGAGCGAAAGCCAGGGGAGCAAACGGG